GGCUCAGAACGAACGUUAGCGGCGCGCUUAACACAUGCAAGUCGCACGAGAAAGGGCUCCGGCCCCGGUACAGUGGCGCACGGGUGAGUAACACGUGGGUAAUCUUCCCUAUGGCGGGGGAUAACCUUCCGAAAGGAGGGCUAAUACCGCAUAAGACCACGGCUCCGAAAGGAGCUGAGGUUAAAGCAGGCCUCUAUACAUAAGCUUGCACCAUAGGAUGAGCCCGCGGCCCAUCAGCUAGUUGGUAGGGUAACGGCCUACCAAGGCGAAGACGGGUAGCUGGUCUGAGAGGAUGAUCAGCCACACUGGAACUGAGACACGGUCCAGACUCCUACGGGAGGCAGCAGUGGGGAAUCUUGCGCAAUGGACGAAAGUCUGACGCAGCGACGCCGCGUGGGUGAUGAAGGCCUUCGGGUUGUAAGGCCCUGUGGGGAGGGACGAAUAAGUGCAGCCUAACACGUUGCAUGAUGACGGUACCUCCUUAGCAAGCACCGGCUAACUCUGUGCCAGCAGCCGCGGUAAGACAGAGGGUGCAAACGUUGUUCGGAAUUACUGGGCGUAAAGCGUGUGUAGGCGGCUAUGUAAGUCGGAUGUGAAAGCCCCGGGCUCAACCCGGGAAGUGCACUCGAUACUGCGUAGCUUGAGUCUCGGAGAGGUUGGUGGAAUUCUCGGUGUAGAGGUGAAAUUCGUAGAUAUCGAGAGGAACACCGGUGGCGAAGGCGGCCAACUGGACGAAGACUGACGCUGAGACACGAAAGCGUGGGGAGCAAACAGGAUUAGAUACCCUGGUAGUCCACGCCGUAAACGAUGGGUGCUAGGUGUCACGGGCAUUGACUCCCGUGGUGCCGUAGCAAACGCAUUAAGCACCCCGCCUGGGAAGUACG
rnacentral:rRNA from 1 species